UGGGGAAUAUUGCACAAUGGGCGAAAGCCUGAUGCAGGGACGCCGCGUGAGGGAUGACGGCCUUCGGGUUGUAAACCUCUUUCAGCAGGGAAGAAGCGCAAGUGACGGUACCUGCAGAAGAAGCACCGGCUAACU
rnacentral:rRNA from 1 species